rnacentral:SRP_RNA from 1 species
CCGUGCUAAGCGGGGGGUUGGUGGUCCCCUGAACCCGAAAUCCACCAAAGCGGGGCUGAAUUCCCUAACAGAGGCCGUUGGGGGUUGAAAACGGCAUCUGAAGGGGCGUAGAAGAUUGGGUCCCACGCAACAACUACCUGCGAACCGGGUCAGGUCCGGAAGGAAGCAGCCCUAAGCAGGCAAGUGUGUGCCGUGGGGGAGCCCGGUCGGAGCUCUUAUUCAGAUGCACGCUCAGGUCCCAACAGGUCGAAGUUAGGGGCACGG